CAGCAGCAGCCACGGUAAUACGAAGGGUGCAAGCGUUACUCGGAAUUACUGGGCGUAAAGCGUGCGUAGGUGGUGGUUUAAGUCCGUUGUGAAAGCCCCGGGCUCAACCUGGGAAUUGCAGUGGAUACUGGGUCACUAGAGUGUGGUAGAGGAUAGUGGAAUUUCCGGUGUAGCAGUGAAAUGCGUAGAGAUCGGAAAGAACACCAACGGCGAAAGCACUCUGCUGGGACAACACCGACGCUGAGGCACGAAAGCGUGGGGAGCAAACAGGAUUAGAUACCCGCGUAGUCCCUGUCUCUUAUAA
rnacentral:rRNA from 1 species